rnacentral:rRNA from 1 species
UACGUAGGGUGCAAGCGUUGUCCGGAAUUAUUGGGCGUAAAGAGCUCGUAGGCGGUUUGUCGCGUCUGCUGUGAAAACCUAAGGCUCAACCUUGGGCUUGCAGUGGGUACGGGCAGACUAGAGUGCGGUAGGGGUGACUGGAAUUCCUGGUGUAGCGGUGGAAUGCGCAGAUAUCAGGAGGAACACCGAGUGGCGAAGGCAGGUCACUUGGGCCGCAACUG